rnacentral:lncRNA from 1 species
CGCCCCCCCCCCCCCCCAGUUCCCGAGGCUGAUCUGCUGAGCACGCCGCAGGGUGCUCAGCUGGGCAGGGGACGAGCAGGACCAUGCUGUUCACCACCCCCUGAACCUGGGGAAAGGGCUGGUAACAGGGCCAUGUGCGAGGCCCAGCCUGCCGUGGUGGCAGGGCGGCGUGGGCUGUGCGAGCGGGGCUGCUGGGUUGGUUUCCUUGUGCCGGGAACUCCUGGGUCUCAGCCUUGCCUGGGGCUCCCCCUCGCCAGGGGAGCCAGCGAUGCUGGGGCUCCCGGAGGGGCUGCGGCCUUGGUGGUGUCUCUGGGGAUAUUGCCAGGAAGUGACACUUUCCAUUUCGCACAACACUGGGCUGCGGAAGGGGGCAGGGAGGGGGUUGCUGCUUCGCCGGUGGAGUGCACAGCGAGACACCGCGGGAUGGAAGAGAGGGUCACGUACGCUGAUCUGCACUUCCCCCCGCCCCCAGCUCCUCAGCGGCUGAAGCAGCUGCCCUGGCGCUGUGCAGCCCUCAGCCUGGCUCUCCUUUGCCUGCUGCUCCUGCUGGCACAAAUUGUCCUCGUUGGCUUGAGCUUCCACUUUUUAGGGCAACUGGCAGGCUGCACCCAUGAUCCCUGGAGCACGGAAGAGAGCCUCAGCGGUGGGCGACAGAGUCCGCAAGGGCGAUGCCAGUUCUGCCCAGCUGGCUGGUUCUGGGACGCAGGUCAGUGCUACUACUUCUCUUCUGCCAAAAAGACCUGGGAGCAGAGCAAAGAGGACUGCUGCUCCAGAGGGGCACAGCUGGUCACCAUCCGAACUAACGCCACCCUGGCGUUCCUGACGCGCAUGUCCGACACGGAUAUGUUUCACGUGGGGCUGAAGCGUGACAGUUCCCGGGCUGACUGGAAGUGGCUGGAUGGCACUGCGCUGAAGGGGCUCUUCCCAAUCCAGCGUUUCACCAGCUCUUUCCUGGCCUGUGGGAGGGUAUCUGGCUCAGGGCUAUCUGGCGGCCCGUGUGGGGAAGCCCGCGGCUGGAUCUGUGAGAAGAGCGCUGCUGCCCUGCAAUGGGUCCAGUCUGCACCCCCCACCUUCCUCUGGGGGAACACCACCUACACCUGCGCGGGGCCCUGGUGACCUGCAAGGACCUCCAGCAUGGCCACUCUGGCAGCGCAGGGACCCCACCACCCCUAUCCUACCCCUGCAGUCCAGCCUGAUCCGAGCUCCUGCACACUGGCAUCCUAGAUUGCGGUCUCCUAACGCAGAGCUCUUCUUCCCCCCCAGCCCGGAUCUGUGAACUUCGGCAAUAAACUCUGGCGCAUGGAUGCUGUAGCUGUCUUU